UGAAAAGAAAAGGUGUGUGUAUAUAUAAAUCCAUAAGAGCAAGCAGCCACAAGCCACACCCACCAACACUCUUUAUUUGAGGUAGAUAAGAAGAAACAUACACAACUGGCGAUGUGGAAUAUGAAGGCUGUUUUGUUUAAAAA